AAUAGAAGUUAAACCUGUGGGUCAAUCUGGUAAUAUAUGUGAGAUCCAAUGUAUAGAUAUCUCAGGAUGCAUGGAAUCUGAUAGCAGUAAUCCAUAUAAAGAUUGUUUGGUUAAUGAAGAAAGAAGGCUUAUUGAUGAGAGGACUAAUGUAGGGACAGUAGAAAAAAAAA